CAUACACACAACGAUAAACACCACUGCAGUGCAGGGUGAGGAGCCUACAGUCAAAGGGGCGUACGUAGAGGUCUUGCGACGGGCUGAUCCCCCUUCCAAGGAGUCCUAACGACUGUGUACAAGAUUACGAAACUGAAAGAAAGAAGCGCCAGAGCUCAUCAAACAUGUAACCGCAUGGAACAUCACCUCCCAAAAUCGUGCUGGGCGUUUCCUCAAACAAACAGAACACACCUCACAAUAGGAGCGUUUCAACAAUCGUCACCUGCCAGACACAAGAGAUCAGAAUCCGUUGAAACCAACUACGAAAUGCAUACAAGUGUUACCAACACACAUUUUAGAGAGACGGAUAAUGAUCUUGUCCUGUAACAAUGGGUGCGGUAGCUUAAAUGUUUGCACGACCAGUGAUUACUUUGAGUGACAAUCGACUAUUGAUCCAUGAAAGCAAAUCUUUAGUUCAUUCCAGUAAAAAUUAAUUAAAGUUAUAGCUAUUUAUUUAACGCUUAUCAGACCAUAUUUAAAUAUAUAAGAUUUUAUGUUCUUAAUAUUACGAUUUUCUGUUUUUCGUGGGACCCAACUACGUGGCUUCACAUUCAUGGGGAUAUCAACUGUCGUUGUGACGAAUAUGACAAUUGUUAGUCAAGCACCACCUGAAAGCCGGAAUAGCAACGAACAGAAAUGGAAGUCAAUUGAUAGGCAACGGUGCAGUAAGCACGUUUUCAUGACAACGGAAAAUUUACAUGGGUACGUGCAAGCGACACACAAUUCCUUGGAAAUGCGCAAGCCUAUAUAUGGAGUCGUGCUGACAAGAACGAGAGGAUUAGUCAGACAGACGUUUUCAAAACAGUCGCAGUAGAAAGGGGAACCAAGAGCUUAUUCGGAAGAGAUUCUUUGUUCGUCAUACGUCAUAGUAGAAGAGAAGACACUCGUAGCCCAGUAAGGAAUAAAAGGAGUCUUACGCAGCCAUUGAUUGCAAACUGUUAUAAUUGGUCAUAAUUGUAAAGUAGUGCCAAUAAAUCUAAUCACUCAAUUCAGAACCCCUUAUUGUUCGUCACACAAACCCCGAAUACGUGACGUGGGUACACUUUAAUUUAGGGGGCAUGCGGUAGCGUAGUUGCUUGAGGCACUAUACUACAAGCCGGAAGAUCGCAGUUUCGA